GUCCUGACGUAGCUCAGUUGGAAGAGCAUUGGGCUGGUAUUCCAAAGGUCGUAGGUUCGAAUCCCACCGUGGCCG